rnacentral:rRNA from 1 species
CCUACGGGAGGCAGCAGUAGGGAAUCUUCCACAAUGGGCGAGAGCCUGAUGGCGCAACGCCGCGUGGGUGAAGAAGGUCUUCGGAUCGUAAAACCCUUUUGUUAGAGAAGAAAAUGCGUGAGAGUAACUGUUCACGUUUCGACGGUAUCUAACCGGACAGCCACGGCUAGCUACGUGCCAGCCGCCGCGGGAAUACGUAGGUGGCAAGCGUUGUCCGGAUUUAUUGGGCGUAAAGGGAGCGCAGGCGGUGUUUUAAGUCUGAUGUGAAAGCCUUCGGCUUAAACGGAGUAGUGCAUUGGAAACUGGGAGACUUGAGUGCAGAAGAGGAGAGUGGAAUGCCAUGUGUAGCGGUGAAAUGCGUAGAUAUAUGGAAGAACACCAGUGGCGAAAGCGGCUCUCUGGUCUGUAACUGACGCUGAGGUUCGAAAGCGUGGGUAGCAAACAGGAUUAGAUACCCUAGUAGUC